GUGAAAUUCUUUGUGUUUUUUUUUUUGUUCUCUCAAUAUGGAAAUAGCUCAGAUCAUUGUCGAGAGGGAAACAACCCAGAUCACUAGCCAGGGCCCCUAAAUGACCGCUCAGUGAUAAAGGAGGAAAGGGUGCAGAGACAGCCAAGAGGUACUCCUAGAAGCAACCACCCUUGAAAGUGUGUGUAAUAACUCACUGAUUGAGCACUCUUGCACUGCCGAAGCUAUACGGUGUAGAAAUGCCUCUGUAGGGGAGUGUUCCGCCGCAGAAACGAGAAUGUCGGCUUGAGUAACGCAAACAUUGGUCAGUAUCCAAUGCCCUGAGAACCUAAGGGUUCCUUUGCAAGGUUCAUCCACAGAAGGUGAGUCAGGACCUAGGAUCAAGCUGAAAGCAGUAGUCGAUGGACAACAAUGAAUAUUCCUGUACUAUUUCUUGGUGGUCUCGAGGUAUGGAGGAGUCUAGGUUAGCUGAAAGAUGGUUAUCAUUUCAAGGACGCGGGAUGCUCUUAAUUUUUGAGGGUAAAAAGGGGUAGAGAAAAUAGCUCGAGUUAAUGUUCGAGUACCAAACGCCAUGACACUGAAGUAAUCCAUACCAUACUCUUAGGAAAAGAUAUAUAGAGUAAAAAAAAGAUAUGGAGUUCGGAAGGGAGGGGGUUUUCUUCGGGCUUGAGAGAGGGAAAUAGAUAGAGCCCCGCAAGUU
rnacentral:sRNA from 1 species